ACAUUAGCAUCUAUUUGAGUCUCUGUCUGACUGACGUUACCUGACAAACGAAACUCGGCAGCUACGGUUUAUCUUGACAAAUGCCAGCUGCAGAGGGUCACUUUAAAGAACUGGCCUUCAGGGGCUUUCCUGCUUUUAGGAGUCAAUGUAAUGCAGCCGCUCUGACAGAGCGAAGCAACACCCCACUGGCCUUGAAGAAAGCAACCAGGAAAGGCUGCUUGGACUGAGGCCCAUUCCUCCCAAUGAUUCCACCAGAUUUCAUGUUGAUGCUUCGCCCUGUAAAAAAC